CAAAGGGCACAUGGCGAAUGCCUUGGCAUCAGGAGCCGAUGAAGGACGCGAUAAGCUGCGAUAAGCCUCGGGUAGCCGCAAAUAGGCAGUGAACCGAGGAUCUCCGAAUGAGGAAACUCACAUGGGAAACCCCAUGUAUCAUGCACUGAAUAAAUAGGUGUAUGAAGGUAAACCCAGGGAACUGAAACAUCUAAGUACCUGGAGGAAGAGAAAGAAAAAUCGAUUUUCUGAGUAGCGGCGAGCGAAAAGGAAAGAGCCCAAACCAGAAACUUGUUUCUGGGGUUGCGGACAGAUCAUAAAAAUGGCGGUUAUUCUAGCCGAACACAACUGGAAAGUUGGACCGUAGGGUGUAAUAGUCACGUAGGCGAAAGAAGAAGGCCAAAAGAUCUGAUCCAGAGUACCACGAGACACGAGAAACCUUGUGGGAAGCAGGGAGGACCACCUCCCAAGGCUAAAUACUACCUGAUGACCGAUAGUGAAGCAGUACCGUGAGGGAAAGGUGAAAAGAACCCCGGGAGGGGAGUGAAAGAGAACCUGAAACCGUGUGCCUACAACCGGUCAUAGCACCAUAUGAGUGUGAUGACGUGCUUUUUGUAGAACGAGCCAGCGAGUUACGAUAUGUAGCGAGGUUAAGUACUUAAGGUACGGAGCCGAAGGGAAACCGAGUCUUAAUAGGGCAACUAGUUGCAUGUCGUAGACCCGAAACCGGGUGACCUAUCCAUGGCCAGGUUGAAGCAGAAGUAAAAUUCUGUGGAGGACCGAACCACGUUGGUGUUGAAAAACCAUGGGAUGAGCUGUGGAUAGCGGAGAAAUUCCAAUCGAACUCGGAGAUAGCUGGUUCUCCUCGAAAUAGCUUUAGGGCUAGCGUCGGAUGUGAGUAGUGGAGGUAGAGCACUGAAUGGGCUAGGGGCCGUAUAGGUUACCGAACUCUAUCAAACUCCGAAUGCCACAUACUAUAAGUCCGGCAGUCAGACUGCGAAUGAUAAGGUCCGUAGUCAAAAGGGAAACAGCCCAGACCAUCAGCUAAGGUCCCAAAGUGUAGAUUAAGUGGAAAAGGAUGUGGGAUUUCUAAGACAACUAGGAUGUUGGCUUAGAAGCAGCCACUCAUUAAAAGAGUGCGUAAUAGCUCACUAGUCGAGAGAUCCCGCGCCGAAGAUGUUCGGGGCUAAAAUCUACCACCGAAGCUAUGGGUGUACGCUAACGCGUACGCGGUAGAGGAGCGUUCUGUACUGGUAGAAGUCGUACCGAAAGGAGCGGUGGACGGUACAGAAGUGAGAAUGCUGGCAUAAGUAGCGAGAACUAGGUGAGAAUCCUAGUGGUCGAAAAUCUAAGGUUUCCUGAGGAAGGCUCGUCCGCUCAGGGUUAGUCGGGACCUAAGCCGAGGCCGAAAGGCGUAGGUGAUGGACAAUCGGUUGAUAUUCCGAUACCACUAUGUAGCGUUAUUACCGAAGGGGUGACGCAGGAGGAUAAGAUGUGCUAGCUAUUGGACGCUAGUCUAAGCGUUUAGGGAGUCUGGAUAGGCAAAUCCGUUCAGACAAUUCUGAGGCGUGAUGGGGAAGGCUCAUAGAGCCGAAGUAUCUGAUUCCACGCUGCCAAGAAAAGCCUCUAGGGAGCAAAGUAGUGCCCGUACCGCAAACCGACACAGGUAGAUGAGGAGAGAAUCCUAAGACCAUCGGAAGAAUUGCAGUUAAGGAACUCGGCAAAUUGACCCCGUAACUUCGGGAGAAGGGGUGCCUACGCAAGUAGGCCGCAGAGAAUAGGCCCAAGCAACUGUUUAGCAAAAACACAGGUCUCUGCUAAAGCGAAAGCUGAAGUAUAGGGGCUGACGCCUGCCCGGUGCUGGAAGGUUAAGGGGAAUGCUUAGCGCAAGCGAAGGCAUGAACUUAAGCCCCAGUAAACGGCGGCCGUAACNUUCAAAAACUAUUGACAAAAAUGUAAAAACAUAUUAAAAUUUUAAUUGUCGGCUUUUAAAAAGCUUAUGUGGCUGGAUAGCUCAGUCGGUAGAGCAGAGGACUGAAAAUCCUCGUGUCCCUGGUUCGAUUCCUGGUCCAGCCACCAUUUUUAUGGCGCUAUAGCCAAGUGGUAAGGCAAAGGUCUGCAAAACCUCUAUCCCCCGGUUCAAAUCCGGGUGGCGCCUCCAAAAAAAGUUUUAGAACUAACUGUUCUAAAACUUUUUUGCUUUAUAUACAGAGUUAUUGCCUUUAGAGGGAGUUUCUGCUUCCGAUAAAGCUUAGAAAUCAUUAUCCAGAGACCUAGCCGCUCUUUAAGAAGAUGGAGCAUUAGAGCGGGUAGUCAUCGGAUAAAAGCUUAGUAAAGAAGGCGUAGUUUAAAGUUAUUUAUAAUUAAUAGCUAUUUAAAUUAUAAAUAACUUUAAACUAAUAGUCGUUCACAUAUUUCAAUUUUCUUUUCAUUAGUAUUAAUUUUACAUCUAGCACCUAUAGGAAGUAUAAGAUUUGUACUUCCAUGACCACUACUAAUUCCAAUAACGGUGGGCUUAUUAAAAGACAGUAAAUCUUUUUUUAGAACUUCUUCUAAUGAAAAGGACAUACUAUUUGAGCUAUGGCAGUCUAUAAAGUCACCUACAAUAAACCCCUUACAUUCACUAAGUUUAUUACAAAGUUUUAAUUGAGUUAACAUCCUAUCUAUUUUAUAAGGUUCUUCAUCCACAUCUUCAAUAAACAAGAUUUUAUCUUUUGUAUCUAUCUCAUAAUCAGUUCCUAAUGUGCUACAUAUUAAAGAAAGAUUUCCCCCUACUAAUAUACCAUCUGCAGAUU
rnacentral:rRNA from 1 species